rnacentral:rRNA from 1 species
UACGAAGGGGGGCUAGCGUUGCUCGGAAUCACUGGGCGUAAAGCGCACGUAGGCGGCUUCUUAAGUCAGGGGUGAAAUCCUGGAGCUCAACUCCAGAACUGCCUUUGAUACUGAGGAGCUUGAGUCCGGGAGAGGUGAGUGGAACUGCGAGUGUAGAGGUGAAAUUCGUAGAUAUUCGCAAGAACACCAGUGGCGAAGGCGGCUCACUGGCCCGAUACUGACGCUGAGGCACGAAAGCGUGGGGAGCAAACAGG